rnacentral:rRNA from 1 species
GACGAACGCUGGCGGCGUGCCUAAUACAUGCAAGUUGAGCGCUGAAGGUUGGUACUUGUACCGACUGGAUGAGCAGCGAACGGGUGAGUAACGCGUGGGGAAUCUGCCUUUGAGCGGGGGACAACAUUUGGAAACGAAUGCUAAUACCGCAUAAAAACUUUAAACACAAGUUUUAAGUUUGAAAGAUGCAAUUGCAUCACUCAAAGAUGAUCUCGCGUUGUAUUAGCUAGUUGGUGAGGUAAAGGCUCACCAAGGCGAUGAUACAUAGCCGACCUGAGAGGGUGAUCGGCCACAUUGGGACUGGGACACGGCCCAAACUCCUACGGGAGGCAGCAGUAGGGAAUCUUCGGCAAUGGGCGAAAGUCUGACCGAACAACGCCGCGUGAGUGAAGAAGGUUUUCGGGUCGUAAAACUCUGUUGGUAGGGAAGAACGUUGGUGAGAGUGGAAAGCUCAUCAAGUGACGGUAACUACCCAGAAAGGGACGGCUAACUACGUG